AAAGUCGUAACAAGGUUUCCGUAGGUGAACCUGCGGAAGGAUCAUUACCCUUCUCUCAGGGGGAUGGACGCAACAGGUUCACGCUUGUUGCUCCGCCCUUUCUGAAUAUACCCAUGUCUUUUGCGUACUAUUUGUUUCCUCGGCAGGCUUGCCUGCCGAUAGGACAUCAUUAAACUCUUUGUAAUUGCAGUCAGCGUCAGAAAAACAUAAUAAUUACAACUUUCAACAACGGAUCUCUUGGUUCUG
rnacentral:misc_RNA from 1 species